rnacentral:rRNA from 1 species
GUCAAGUCAGUAUGGCCCUUACGUCUGGGGCCGCACACGUGCUACAAUGGCCGGUACAGAAGGAAGCUAGACCGCGAGGUGGAGCAAACCCCCAAAACCGGCCCCAGUUCGGAUUGGAGUCUGCAACCCGACUCCAUGAAGUCGGAUUCGCUAGUAACGGCGCAUCAGCAUUCGGCGCCGUGAAUACGUUCCCGGGCCUU